GUCAUUGUGGUGUAGUGGUUUCAGUAUUGGACUACAAUUCUGUAGACCAGGCUUCGAUUCCCCGUUGGGCCA